rnacentral:lncRNA from 1 species
UUUUCUUUGAGAAUCAGUAUUUUUUUCCUACUCAUGUUGAGUCAUCUCCUGCUUCUCUUCUUCUUUCUACUUUUGAAGAUUUUUCAUCUUCUUCUAAGAGGUUCAAACCCGGAUUUGUGUACGAACGUCGGCGGCCAACUUUACCGCCUCCUGAUAUUGAUCCGCCACCUAAAAUUGCACCACAACUAGAAUCUGAGAAUUCUUCAAGG